GAUGAAGAACGUAGCGAAAUGCGAUACGUAAUGUGAAUUGCAAAUUCAGUGAAUCAUCGAGUCUUUGAACGCACAUUGCGCCCCCUGGUAUUCCGGGGGGCAUGCCUGUCCGAGUGUCAUUGCUGCCCUCAAGCACGGCUUGUGUGUUGGGCCCCGUCCUCCGAUCCCGGGGGACGGGCCCGAAAGGCAGCGGCGGCACCGCGUCCGGUCCUCGAGCGUAUGGGGCUUUGUCACCCGCUCUGUAGGCCCGGCCGGCGCUUGCCGAUCAACCCAAAUUUUUAUCCAGGUUGACCUCGGAUCAGGUAGGGAUACCCGCUGAACUUAAGCAUAUCAAGCGGAGGA
rnacentral:misc_RNA from 1 species